CCUACGGGUGGCAGCAGUGAGGAAUAUUGGUCAAUGGGCGGGAGCCUGAACCAGCCAAGCCGCGUGAAGGAAGAAGGCGCCAAGCGUCGUAAACUUCUUUUGUCGGGGAACAAAGGGCGCCACGUGUGGCGUUGUGAGUGUACCCGAAGAAAAAGCAUCGGCUAACUCCGUGCCAGCAGCCGCGGUAAUACGGAGGAUGCGAGCGUUAUCCGGAUUUAUUGGGUUUAAAGGGUGCGUAGGCGGACGCUUAAGUCAGCGGUAAAAUUGCGGGGCUCAACCUCGUCGAGCCGAUGAAACUGGGUGCCUUGAGUGGGCGAGAAGUACGCGGAAUGCGUGGUGUAGCGGUGAAAUGCAUAGAUAUCACGCAGAACUCCGAUUGCGAAGGCAGCGUACCGGCGCCCAACUGACGCUGAAGCACGAAGGCGUGGGUAUCGAACAGGAUUAGAUACCCGAGUAGUC
rnacentral:rRNA from 1 species